GGGACAAGCCCAGCACCGAAUCCCCCGGCAUGCAGCCGGUGGGAAAUGUGGUGUGCGGGACGCCAACUGUCGUCCGCGUUGGAGACCGAAGUCCUCCUGAUCGGGGCCAAUCCCACAGCGGGUGUCAGGCCUUUACUGGUCUCUGGCCGGGCGGCUGCGAGCGUCUCAGGAGUCGGGUUGUUUGGGAAUGCAGCCCAAAGCGGGUGGUAAACUCCAUCUAAG
rnacentral:rRNA from 1 species